AUUGAACGCUGGCGGCAGGCCUAACACAUGCAAGUCGAGCGGAUGAAGAGAGCUUGCUCUCUGAUUUAGCGGCGGACGGGUGAGUAAUGCCUAGGAAUCUGCCUGGUAGUGGGGGAUAACGUCCGGAAACGGGCGCUAAUACCGCAUACGUCCUACGGGAGAAAGCAGGGGACCUUCGGGCCUUGCGCUAUCAGAUGAGCCUAGGUCGGAUUAGCUAGUUGGUGAGGUAAUGGCUCACCAAGGCUACGAUCCGUAACUGGUCUGAGAGGAUGAGCAGGCACACUGGAACUGAGACACGGUCCAGACUCCUACGGGAGGCAGCAGUGGGGAAUAUUGGACAAUGGGCGAAAGCCUGAUUCAGCCAUGCCGCGUGUGUGAAGAAGGUCUUCGGAUUGUAAAGCACUUUAAGUUGGGAGGAAGGGCAGUAAGUUAAUACCUUGCUGUUUUGACGUUACCGACAGAAUAAGCACCGGCUAACUUCGUGCCAGCCGCCGCAGUAAAAC
rnacentral:rRNA from 1 species